rnacentral:lncRNA from 1 species
ACAAUCUGGCGCCAUCGUCCUUCUUGUGAGGCCAAGCCUGAAAAUGCGAAGCAGAGAGGCAGGACCAAAAUUGAGGCGAAUCCAGGAACCUGCCAAUGGGUCUCCGGGUGCGGUCUCUGAAACUGGAGGAUAUCGGGAGGAAAGGCUCUCCGAUGCGGAGAUAAUGGGGAAGCUCUUGGCAUGGUUGGCUGUAGGUAUGUGAUACCGGAGGAGCAGGAGUCAAAUAGGAUACGCCGACUUUUAAUUCAAGGAACCCUUUUCUGAAACACUUUGCCACAAUGAAGGAAAUAAGGAAUAAAAUUGAAGGGUGUUUUUCUUAGAGAACAUCAUUUGUCAUAUUUAUUUGAUCAAGAAGUUGAAGAUUUAUAUAAUAAGGAUCUAGUUUGAAGCACUAAGAAGAAUAAGACAUCAGUUUGAAAAGAGGCUCUAUCAGAACAACACGAAUUCUGCUAAAAUUGAAGCAAGAACAAACAUCAAAUAUAUGUUGACACUUGGGUGGAAGAAUGGUGAACUAAUUGAUGCUUUAUGAAAAGUUGAUAGGGACAGUGCUCCAAAGAAAUCAGUUUACAAAUGGAUAACUCGUUUUAAGAAGGCAUAAGGUAAUGUUGAAGAAGAAGCCCACAGUGGCAGAUCAUCCACAUCAGUUUGUGAGAAAAAAGUUAGUUCAUGGCGUAAUUGAAGAAAACCAACAAUUAACAGCAGAAACAACAGCCAACACCAUAGACAUCUCAGUUGGUUCACCUUACACAAUUUUGACUGGAAAAGUUCAGCAAACUUUAUACCUGAUAGGUACCAAAACCAUUGCACCCAGAUCAGCUACAGACAAGAAUAGAGCUUUCAAUGGAAAUUUUAAAUAAGUGGGAUCAGGAUCUUGAAGCCUUUCAUUGAAAAAUUGUAACAGGAGAUGAAACAUGGCUUUACCAGCGCAAUCCUGAAGACAAAACACAAAGCAGUGGUUACCAAGAUAAGUAGUUCAGUUAAAGCACAAGAGGACUGGUUGAGAGCAAAGGUCAUGGCAACAGCUUUUGAAUGCUCAAGGCAUUUUGCUUGUUGACUUUCUGUAGGGCCAAAGAAUGGUAACGUGCUUAUCAUGGGAGUGUUUUGAGAAACUUAGCCAAAGCUUCAGCAGAAAAAUCCCCGAGAAAGACCAGAGAGUUCUUCACCACAACAAUGUUCCUGCUCAUCCCUCUCAUCAAACAAGGCCAUUUUGCAAGAGUUUUGAUGGGAAAUCACUAGGCAUCCACCCUACAGUCCUGGUUUGGCACCUUCUGACUUUUUGUUUCCUAAUCUUAAAAAAAUUUUUCAGGGCAGUACAUUUUUCUCAAGUUAAUGUAUAAAGAAACUGCAUUGAUGUAGAUAAAUUCCCAGAACUCUCAGUUCUUUAGGGAUGGACUAAAUAGCUGGUAUCAUCACUUACAAAAGUGUCUUGAAUGCUAUAGAGCUAAUGUUCAAAAAUAUAGUUUAUAUUUUUUAUCUUUUAACCAUUUUUCCACAAACUUUUUGAAGUCUCCUUGAAUAUGUACCAUUUAUAAAGGGGAAAAAUUCUGUGACUACUCAUGUUGACUUAAUGCUGACUUAAUUUUCUGUUUUGUAAAUAUAUACAAACAAGUUGAUACAAAUUUUGUUUAUAGCCCUUAAACAAAUUUGU